rnacentral:rRNA from 1 species
GACGAACGCUGGCGGCGUGCUUAACACAUGCAAGUCGAACGGAAAGGCCCUGCUUUUGUGGGGUGCUCGAGUGGCGAACGGGUGAGUAACACGUGAGUAACCUGCCCUUGACUUUGGGAUAACUUCCGGAAACUGGGGCUAAUACCGGAUAGGAGCUCCUGCUGCAUGGUGGGGGUUGGAAAGUUUCGGCGGUUGGGGAUGGACUCGCGGCUUAUCAGCUUGUUGGUGGGGUAGUGGCUUACCAAGGCUUUGACGGGUAGCCGGCCUGGGAGGGUGACCGGCCACAUUGGGACUGAGAUACGGCCCAGACUCCUACGGGAGGCAGCAGUGGGGAAUAUUGCACAAUGGGCGGAAGCCUGAGGCAGCAACGCCGCAUGCGGGAUGACGGCCUUCGGGUUGUAAACCGCUUUCGCCUGUGACGAAGCGUGAGUGACGGUAAUGGGUAAAGAAGCACCGGCUAACUACGUG